GUGAAUCAUCGAAUCUUUGAACGCAAAUUGCACUCUCUGGUAUUCCGGAGAGCAUGCCUGUUUGAGGGUCAGUUAAAUAAAAAUCGGGGCAUUUGCCACCUUUGGUGGUGACGCUUCGGAAUUGGGUCGUCUUUAUUUUUCGGUUAAGAGAUUUAAAAUUUUUGAAUGAUAUCUGAAAGCAUUUAAAUUUAUUUGGUACGUUUUGUAAUAUCGAAUGUUUAUUAGGUGUGAUCAUUCUCAUGACUCACGUCUAUAAUUUUUAAUCUAAUGACCUCACAUCAGGUAAGAGUACCCGCUGAAA
rnacentral:misc_RNA from 1 species